rnacentral:lncRNA from 1 species
UGCUCUAGAUUAUGUUUGGUGGUCAUUCAGAAACGAAUGGACCAUAUUAUAUUUGGAAUCCCACUUCACCAUCUAUCUGUUUGAUAUGAAAUUCAGAGCCGACCUAGCACUUGGGCAGGGUGAGAGGGCUCGAGUAGGAAAGGGCUACCCGUGGAUGAAGUCGAGAACUCAUCACGGCGUGGAGCCACCACUGAGUUAAACCUCACAUUCACUAUGCUAGAAUACGACGUUUGAGCUUCUAUUUCGUAUUUGUUCCUUGAUAUGUUCUGAAAUGCUUCUUAUGCUUCCGAAAUAUUUCCAUAUGCCAUUGAUAUGUUCUGAAGCAUUUCAUUCACCAUUGAUAUUUUCCGAACUGUUUCAUAUGCCAUUGAUAUCCAAAAUGCUCCUUACGUCUUUGUUAUGCCUUGAAAUUACCAUAUGUCAUCGAUAUGCUCCUUAUGCCAAUGAUAUGCUCCAAUUAGCUUUCCUUGAUUGUAUGAACAAAACACGCUUCGAACGAAAUGACAUCGUAAUUCUGCAUUCAAGCAAAACAUGCUACUGUUUCAUCUUGUAUCUCUACUUUAUAUUUUGAUACCUUAUUUGUUUGAAAACUGUCCUCUUUGCUAUGGAUAUGUUAGUCAUUUGCUGAGCUUUAUAUGCUCACCCCAUUGCUAUAUAAAUUUUUCAGGAUGUAACAUCCCUCAUUUCUGAAUUUUCGUAUAAAUUUCUGGUGAUAAUGUAAGCAUCUAUUUUAAAUUGACAAAAGGAAUAGAGUAUGAAUCAGAGGUAACUUAUUUUUAAGAUUUGGGAGAUCUGUUCAAAAAAAAAAAGAAAGAAUCUGCGGACCUAUAUGUAAACCCUAAGGACCUAAUCGUGAAUAUGAUAAAAACAAGGACUAAACUGCAAAACGAACAAAAUGACAAAUCCCACCGCUUAAGCCUCUCUGUGGAUGAUCAGUGAAAGAAAGAAAGAAGAAGAAGAAGAAGAAGGAGAAGAAGAAGAAGAAGAAAAAAAAAAAAAUUUGGGGCUUUAAGGGUUCUUGCCCAAAUCCUUUCACUUAGGGUCAAAAUUCCCAAAGGCAAGUGUUUCUAACCCCAUCCUACAGAAAAUUAGUCUCUGUUUUUAUGUUGUUUCAAAAUAAACUGAAGGAUUUCUAUUUAGAAACUGAUAUGUCUCUCCUUGGACAUAGAACCAUGGAUUCUGAAAUUUCUUUCGGUAAACUGACCCCUAUAUACAGUUCUGGCUAUAAUUUUUAGUACGAAAUGCAGAAUUGAGCAGGACCUAGUUUGUUUGAAAUUAGACUCUUAUAUCUUUCUUUUGACACAAAGUUUGAAGAUUUUGAAUUCCGAAUACUUACCCAAACGUCUGUUUCAAAUGAGCCUAUGGAUGCUGCAAAACAGGGAUUAAGAUUUCUGACCUUUCGAUACUAAAAUGCCUAUAACUCCCUGUUGGAAAUUCUGAUUUGUACCAAACUGAUUUUAUUUGAAACUAGACUUGAAAUCUUUCUUUUGAUAUAUAGUUUGAAAAUUUUGGAGUUCAAAUGCCUACCCUAUUAUCUGUUGAAUCCGACCCUAUGUAUUCUGCAAAACAGUGAUUGUGUCCUUGACCUUAUGUUACCAAAUCAAAGGUAACUCCUUGUGGGAAACUCUGAUUCAUACGAAACUUGUUUCAACAGAAAAUAGGUUGAUAUAUCUUUCAAUGACAGCUUUAUUAAGGGUAUUGGAGCAUAAGUGAUAAUCUGAAGUAUUUGUUCUAUGUGCCAUUGGAAUUCUGUCAGAAAUCGAGCUUUGGUCGAUUUCGCGUAUUCUGUUUCAUUCCUUUGGAUAUUGAAUUCUUCUAACCUUCUUAUUUGAAUUGAGCUAAAUAUGAUUGCUUGGAUUCCCUGUAUACUCUUGCUUCCAUUUAAUUCCUAAUAUGAAUACAUUUGUGAGAGAUUUGUUCUUUGCAUCAUAUUGUCUUGAAAAGGCACAUAUACGUUUUGUUGUUCCGUGUGUGCUUCCGAUAUAUGCUACUUAUUGUUAAAACUACCCUCUUAUACUCUGGUGUGUGGGAUUGUCUGGACCUUUGCCAGAAAUGGUAAAGGGUAUGUGCUUAUUGCCCGCUCUGUGGGAUAUUCUGGACCUUUGCCAGAAAUGGUAAAGGGUAUGUGCUUAGAGCCUGCGAUGCUCUGUCGGCCCCCUCUGACUUCACCUAGACGUGGGUGGAUGGAGAUCCCAGACGUGGGUGGAUGGACCUCCCAGACGUGGGAGACUUUUGUCAGGUGGUCAUUCAGAAAUUGAUGAAUCACAUUCUGACUGAGAUCCCACUACACCUUCUAUAUGUUUGUUAUGACAUCCAGAGUUUUGGUGAGUUGUUUCUGUUCAUGCUCUGGAUAAGAAUGAUAUGAUUGCAACGUCAAGGACGAUGUUUGAGCUUCUGUACGAUAUUUAUUUUUGAUAUGCUCUGAAAUGCUUCAUUCACUGAUGAUUUUGUUUCAAAAUGUUCCAUAUGCCGUUGAUAUGCUUCGGAACAUUUUAUAUGCCAUUGAUAAGCUCCGAUAUGUUUCCUUUGUUACUGAUAUGCUCCAAUUACUCUAUGCCCCAUAUGUCAGGAACCAAAUAUGUAAGAUUGAAAGGACAAUUGUGUUUCUGCUCCUAAUGAUAUUAUGUCCACGAAAUCGUAUAUUCUGCCUUGUAUUUUGAAACUGUAUCUCUUUGGAAAUUGUCCUGUUUUGAUAUGGAUAUGUUAGUCACUUGCUGAGCUCUAUAUGCUCACCCUGUUUGUUGAUAAAUUUUUCAGGAUAGCGUAUCGCUUGCUUAAAUGUUAAGAUUGGACUGAGGUAGUGGAAAGUUAGAAGAUUUUGG